AGGUUAGUAAUCAAACAGUUUUGUAUGGCUGGCACGCAGAUGGUGGUACUGUGUGGGAUGGUUUUAGAGGUGGUGCCUUCCUGGAUGAAGUGUAUCACAAGGGUAGGGGGUAUAAUCUGAGGUUUUACUGCUAGCCUGUAAAUUGAUGGCUUCCUGUUCUGUCUGUCUGUCUGUCUGUCUGUCUGUCUGUCUGUGUGUCCUUCCUUGCUUCCAAUGUGCAGACGAAGUGUGGUCAUUUGCUUCCCACCCUGUCAGGAUGGGCUCAUACUCCUUCUCCAUGCCUUCCCUGCCUUGACUACGUUGUAUCAUAGCCCCUCAACAAAUGAAAGGCAGAAUAAGCCCUUUCUCCCAUAGCUUGCUUUUCGUUAUAAUAUUUUAUCACAGCAAUAGAAAAGCAAUGAAUACAGCUGGUUAAUUAAAUCAGCAUCUACCUCCGAGCCCCUUCACAGCACUGACUGUCUCGUUAUACUCCCCUACACGUUUAACAAAAUGCCUAUAUUUCUUUUCCCUGAUCUAUCGGUCACUCACAUCAUCUGGUCAGCCCCCACAUGGAAAGAUGAGUCUUUGGGUGACUUUUAUAAACCUCCAGACCUCAAAGGACUCCCUGCACACCACACACACACACACACACACACACACACACACACAGAGAGAGAGAGAGAGAGAGAGAGAGAGAGAGAGAGAGAGAGAGAGAGAGCGCUAGCUUUCUGCAUGAUUCAGAGUUUCAGGCCCACAUUAUCAUGACCUCCUAAGAGCACUAUUAACAUAUUUUUUUCUCAAUUAUCUUCAAUUCAAAAGAAUCAGCGUGUCAGAGUGACAUUUGGGGGAUAGCUUGUUCUGAUGUUCUUCAGGUGGGUAAACCCAAAAAUCACCAGAACAUACGAGGAGAUGCAGAAUUUAAUACUUGUUGAGUACUCUUUAAUUUUCUCAAUCACUUGUUUUUUCAGUGUUAACAUUAAUUUAUAUUAAGACGAGCAUACUCCUCACCCACCGCUACUUAAAACUGACUUUCCAAAGUUCAGCUUUAUGACAGAUGGGUAGUAGUCAAUUUUCUAAUUUCAACUGUAUUUCUAUGAAACCUCAUGAGGUUAAAUAAUUUAAUUCCUCCUUCCUCUCCCCUUCCUUCUCCCUUCCUCCCUUCUCCCUCCUUCUUCCCUUCCCUCCUUCUUUUCCUCUCUCCCUCUCUCCAUUUAUAUGGUAGUGUGGACUGAACCCAUGCUAGGCAAGCACUCCACCGAUGAUGUCCACAGCAGCCCGCCUUUUCCAGAGCUUUCUUCAUCAUUGAAUUUUGUUUCUGUGGUCUGACCAGAAUCUGCUCAGGACUCUUGCCCAUUUUCUGGCUGAAUUGUUGACCUUUUUAACUGUUGAUCUGUAAGUCUGUCCUGGAUGCUCAUCUGUCCAUCCCUUGUGUGACUGACAGCUUCCUCCACCUCUUGGCUGCUCACCCCACUUCUUGACUGCUCACCCCACCUCUUGGCUACUCAUUACCUUUCAUAGGGAUGUUGAGUUCCUCACUCUAUGUUGUCGAAUUCAUUGGUGCUUUCUUUAUGACCAGUGCUUUCAGAAAGAAGACUUUAUACCCCAUAGUCAUGGAGGUGUUUUCAUAUGCCCUCCCAGAGUUUCACCUUCCACAUUUAAAUCUUUCACUUAACCUGUAAGUUAGUUUUAUGUGACAUAAGGACUGUUUUAAUCUUAUUUUCUUAGCUAAUGGACUACCUAGUGUCUAUUGGCCAUCUUCUUUCCUCACUAGCCAAGGUCUCUCCUGCCAUCGUUCUUGACCUCAUCUCCAUGAGCUCCUGGGUUUGCUGUCCUCCUGCCAACCUGUCUGUCCGACUCAGCAUUGAUACGAGAAGGCCUUCGUUCUGUGGCUUGACAAUGCCUUUCUGCAACAGCAAAUUCAUCCACUUAUAACUCUCUGGGGAAAGUGCAGGCUCUUGCCUCAAAUCGUCUGUCUAAUACUCCUGCUUGUAUUAUGGUCGACUUGAGUACUUUGAUAUUUCAGGGCCAGGCCUCUCAGAUACUUGAUUUAAAAAAAAAAGUAGUUUAGAGUCUACUCAUUGGUUUUUUUUUUUAAUGCAACUAAUCUCCCCACCCAGAUCCCUUUAAAACCCAUAAGCAAAGUUUUGACGCCUUCACAUGCGUCUUACAUUACAUUCUAGCUUUUUCUCUUUGUUAAUUCUUUCUUUACAUGUUUUUUGUUUGAGAGUCUGGUUCUAUAUCUCAGGCUGUCCCAGAAUCCACUGUGUAGGACAGGUUAACCUUGAAUUUAUGGCAAUCCUCCUGCCUCAGUCUCCCAAGUGCUAAAAUUACAGCAACCAGUCACCAGACUCACAUUCCUAUCGUACGGUAGCAGUAACACAUUUGCUGCCUUUGUGAAUGAGAUUUCAUGUGCAAUUUCUAGCAAAUGCUAUUUAUCGUUUCUUGUUUUAUUUGUUGAUAUUGAUUCGCUAUUAUUAACUCUACUUUUUGCAAUUUUUUUACGAUCAUAAGAAAGGUCAAACAGUGAUACUUCGAGGAAUGUCCAAGUUGAAUCUACAGCAUAGAACUGGAUUCUAGGGGGAUUUUAGGUAGGGCUUUGAGAGCUAGAGAUGAGGAAGAACGUUCUGGGGCAUUAGUAGUGUUGGGGUGGAAGGUGUGUGGCAUGACUUGAGGGAAUUGAGAAAUGAAUCUGACAGUUUUUCUAAGCAGCUGCUGUGAAGCAACAUACCAGAGAAGCCUCCCACUCAGCCCAGCCCCGGAAGGUAGCAUCUGACACAGGCGUGCUGCUAUUGUAUUCAACAGCAGGCGACACGUUGAAUCAGGCAGACACUAGCAAAGUGGAAAUAUACCCAAACUCCAGUAUACAGCACGCAAUUACACACAUUCACCCGUGAGACAGGCAGAUGAAGUGACACAGUGGGAAGACAGAUAUCAGAACAGUGGCACUUGCUUGUUUCCUUUGUCCUUUUGCCCAAUACCUCUUUUUUUCACCUUAGGGUUGAAUCUGUCUUUGAUGACAGGAGUGUCCUCUGAGUGGCUCUACCCAGCAGUUGACUGAAACAGAUGCAGAGACCUAUAGCCAAACAUUGAAUGGAGUUUGGGGAGUCUUAUGGAAGAAUUGCGGGAAGGAUCAAAGGACCCAGAUGGGAUAGGAACUCCACAGGAAGACCAGCAGAGCCAACUAAUCUGGACCCUUGGGGACUCUCAGAAAAUGAACCACUAACCAAAGAGCAUACAUGGGCUGGACCUAGGUAGGAUCCACCACACAUAUAUAGCAGAUGUGUUAUAUAUGUCUCCCAACAACUGGACUGGGGGCUAUCCCUAAAUCUGAUGCCUGUACCCCUAACUGGGCUGACUUCUCUGGCCAUGAUGGGAGAAACGUGCCUAGCCCUGCAGAGAUUCGAUGUGCCAGAGUUAGGGAAUACCCACCCUUUCAGAGGAGAAAGGAGGGGAAUGAGGGAAGGGAUAGUGUUUGGGGGAACUGGGAGGGGGAAGCAACUGGGAUGUAAAGUGAAUAAAUAAAUUAAUUAAUGGAAAAAUUAAAUAAAUAAAACAUCCCCAAAAGGAAAGUGUAUAUUAAUUUUUGUUGUGUUAUUGCUUUUUGUGCCUUUUGAAGUUUUUCUAUUUCUCUAUUGGUUAGCUACUGUUCUAAUUCCAGUGUUCUUUAUCUUUUCUGU